GACGAACGCUGGCGGCGUGCUUAACACAUGCAAGUCGAACGGAAAGGCCCUGCUUUUGUGGGGUGCUCGAGUGGCGAACGGGUGCGUAACACGUGAGUAACCUGCCCUUGACUUUGGGAUGACUUCAGGAAACUGGGGCUAAUACCAGAUAGCAGCUCCUGCUGCAUGGUGGGGGUUGGAAAGUUUCGGCGGUUGGGGAUGGACGCGCGGCUUAUCAGCUUGUUGGUGGGGUAGUGGCUUACCAAGGCUUUGACGGGUAGCCGGCCUGAGAGGGUGACCGGCCACAUUGGGACUGAGAUACGGCCCAGACUCCUACGGGAGGCAGCAGUGGGGAAUAUUGCACAAUGGGCGGAAGCCUGAUGCAGCAACGCCGCGUGCGGGAUGACGGCCUUCGGGUUGUAAACCGCUUUCGCCUGUGACGAAGCGUGAGUGACGGUAAUGGGUAAAGAAGCACCGGCUAACUACGUG
rnacentral:rRNA from 1 species